rnacentral:rRNA from 1 species
GACAGAGGAUGCAAGCGUUAUCCGGAAUGAUUGGGCGUAAAGCGUCCGCAGGUGGCUAUGUAAGUCUGCUGUUAAAGAGUGAGGCUCAACCUCAUAAGAGCAGUGGAAACUACAUGGCUAGAGUGCGUUCGGGGCAGAGGGAAUUCACGGUGUAGCAGUGAAAUGCGUAGAGCUCGUGAGGAAGACCGGUGGCGAAGGCGGGUCUCUGGACAGUGCCUGACGCUGGAGGCGCGAAGGCUAGGGGAGCAAACGGG